AACGAACGCUGGCGGCAGGCCUAACACAUGCAAGUCGAGCGCAUCGCAAGGUGAGCGGCGGACGGGUUAGUAACGCGUGGGAACGUGCCCUUUUCUUCGGAAUAGCCUCGGGAAACUGAGGGUAAUACCGGAUACGCCCUUUGGGGGAAAGAUUUAUCGGGGAAGGAUCGGCCCGCGUCUGAUUAGGUAGUUGGUGGGGUAAUGGCCUACCAAGCCUACGAUCAGUAGCUGGUUUGAGAGGAUGAUCAGCAACACUGGGACUGAGACACGGCCCAGACUCCUACGGGAGGCAGCAGUGGGGAAUCUUAGACAAUGGGGGCAACCCUGAUCUAGCCAUGCCGCGUGGAUGAUGAAGGCCUUAGGGUCGUAAAGUCCUUUCGCUGGGGAAGAUAAUGACGGUACCCAGUAAAGAAACCCCGGCUAACUCCGUGCCAGCCGCCGCCGUAACAC
rnacentral:rRNA from 1 species